UACGAGGGGGGCGAGCGUUGUUCGGAAUUAUUGGGCGUAAAGGGCGCGUAGGCGGUGGGAUAAGUCUUGUGUGAAAUCUUCGGGCUCAACUCGAAGUCUGCACGAGAAACUAUCUGGCUUGAGUGUGGGAGAGGUGAGUGGAAUUCCUGGUGUAGCGGUGAAAUGCGUAGAUAUCAGGAGGAACACCUGUGGCGAAAGCGGCUCACUGGACCACAACUGACGCUGAGGCGCGAAAGCUAGGGGAGCAAACAGG
rnacentral:rRNA from 1 species